AAAAGGAAAAGGGACAGAAAAGUGGAAAAAGGGCAAAGAGAGCCAGAAAACAAGGGUUGAAGAGAGGAAGAGCUUGAAGCGUAAAGAUUCGCCGGAUUAACUCAGGUAACGAGCAGUGAUUGAGUAGAAGCUAGUCCUUGGAGUCUAGUGUAGUUCCUUAGUGGGUCAUGCUCUGAUAGAUGUAACAUCGGGAUGAGAUGUUUUAAUUGUUUUACUAUAUUUUCAGUUGGUUGUUGAACAACUUUACAUGUAAUGUAUUACAUGGUUUGAAUGUUGUUCGUUGUAUCCGCUGCGUAUUAUGUAAAUGUUUUAUUUGAUUAAAUAAAUGAGCAUGACAGGAUAUUUUGGAAAA